GCCCGGAGGAGCUCAGGGAGACCUGGCUGCCAAGGGCAUGGUGCCCAGUGUCCCGGUGUGUGCCCGUCCUCAGCCACUUGUGUCUUUCUUUCCCCGUGGAAGUUCUCCCGGUGACACCUGCCCUCCGUUGAGGGUGGAAUCUGUCACUCAUGCCUUUGAGGGACCCAGACUGUCCCUCUUCUGCUUUCUUUCUACAUUCCUAAAAAACCUCAGUGUUAAUCCCUCACCAAUGGGCGGAGUACGGCCUCACGGCUCUGCAGCGCCCCAGCCUUCUCCCACCGGCUUCACGCUAGAGGACGCCAUGUGCUCUCGGUGAAAUGAGACGCUGGUGUCAGGUCCCCAUGCAGAGACCCUCGAGGCAGCGCUGGGAAGACACUGGGCGGGACCGUGACCAGGCAGGUGGAGCCAUGUGUGUCUCACACCUGCCGCCCCUCAGUUUCCUUCCCGAGGUCUGGAGUGUUCUCUUUGGGGUUUGCUGUUUAUUUGUAUUUCCUUUUUCUUUGAUUUAAGAACCAUGCCGAGUGAAAAAGGUGGGAAUGAAUUUCUGAGUUGCUGAGUGUUCCCUGAUCCUAGGUACUGCGCUCUGUGCUUCUCGAGCAGGGAGGGGAUGGAUUUGGUGGAGGUGGGCCGGGCCGGGGCUUCACCCUGCCCCCUCCAGACUGCCGGAGCCCCAAGAAGUUUUGAGUCUAGCUGGGCCUCACCGCCCGCCCCAUCGCCCGCUCCUCGGUCCGUUUACUGGUUUAAGAUCAGAGGCAUCAUUCAGCGAAUGCUCUUGUGUUCUCGACAUAAAAGAGGGCCCUCCCUGGAACACCCCAAGGGAGCUGGGACUCUCCAAAAAGCCCCCACUAAGGGCUCCCCUCUGACUCUCGAGAGAAAUCCCUUCUUUGGGCGAAUCAGCGAGUUCAGGAGGAGGAGGAGGAAGCUUUUCCUUGCCUUUGAAAUCAGUGUUUUUAUAGAGACAAAGAACAGACCUCAGUGGAAAACUGAAAAUGUAAUUGAACAUGGGGAAGCGUCGGAGAAGAAAGGAUUUUCCCCUUCGCUUUCAGAGCCGGCGGGAGUGCAGGUCUAUUUUGCUUCAGAAGCCUCACAUUCUGCUUUGCCUUUGAGUGACUUCAUGCGGGCCUCGCCUCGAGCCUCCUUGACAUUACCGCUGCCUCGAAGCAAUAUUAUUUCAUAA
rnacentral:lncRNA from 1 species